UACGGAGGGUGCAAGCGUUAUCCGGAUUCACUGGGUUUAAAGGGCGCGUAGGCGGACAGGCAAGUCAGGGGUGAAAUCCCACGGCUCAACCGUGGAAGUGCCUUUGAUACUGCCGGUCUCGAGGGAGGUAGGGGCGUGCGGAACUUCCGGUGGAGCGGUGAAGUGCGUAGAUAUCGGAAGGAACACCGGUGGCGAAAGCGGCGCGCUGGACCUCUUCUGACGCUGAGGCGCGAAAGCCAGGGGAGCAAACGGG
rnacentral:rRNA from 1 species